UGAUGCUUGUGCUUGACAGUCAGGAGGUUUAGCUAGAAGCAGCCACCCUUUAAAGAGUGCGUAAUAGCUCACUGAUCGAGCGCCCUUGCGCUGAAGAUGAACGGGGCUAA
rnacentral:ncRNA from 1 species